GAUGAAGAACGUAGCGAAAUGCGAUACUUGGUGUGAAUUGCAGAAUCCCGUGAACCAUCGAGUCUUUGAACGCAAGUUGCGCCUCAAGCCAUUGGGUUGAGGGCACGUCUGCCUGGGCGUCACAUAUCGUUGCCUGAUGCCAGUUUCCUCGUGAUGGGUGACUGUGCAGGGCGAAUGAUGGCUUCCCGUGAGCAUUGUUGCCUCAUGGUUGGUUGAAAAUUGAGUCCUUGGUAGGGAGCGCCGUGAUAGAUGGUGGUUGAGUGACGAACGAGACCCAAUCAUGUGAGACCCCUACCGAAUUUGGCCUUCAUGACCCACAUGCGUCUUUGGAACGCUCAUGACGAGACCUCAGGUCAGGCGGGGCUACCCGCUGAACUUAAGCAUAUCAAUAAGCGGAGGA
rnacentral:misc_RNA from 1 species